GCUGUGUGGAUUGCAGAGGGCUUGAAGAAGGGGUGGACAGCCCCAGAACCAAGUGACAGGUGUUCCCAUGAUCCCCAUAGCCAUGAAGUUGCUCUUUGGUGGUGGUGGGGGUCUCAAAAUGAGAUGCAAGUUGGCAUCAAACGUUUCUGGUUUGCUUUGUGGUUUGUAAAGUCAUCACACCCUGCGCUGUUGGAAGUUGGCAACAAUAUCUUUGAACAAAAACGGACAACAAAGCAGCUGUGAUGUUGAGGGAUGAAGCCCAUUGGGAGUCAGAACCACCAUCCAGUUCACUGCUGCUUAGUAAAUGAAUGAAGCCUUGCUGAAUGGAAACAGCUCCCGGGAAGCCACGUGGAGAAGAUGGAAAGAGCACCAGGCAUGUUAAGGUCACUAACUGAGAACACGGCUGAAGACAGAAGAAUGAGCGUAGUUAUAACCUUCAUAAGGACAGAGGAGACAAAGGUACGUAGCCCAGAUCAACAACUGGUCUACAUCCCACAUCAAAGUAAUAUUCCAGGAAAGAAGCCCCCU
rnacentral:lncRNA from 1 species